rnacentral:rRNA from 1 species
AUUGAACGCUGGCGGCAUGCCUAAUACAUGCAAGUCGAACGGAAACAGGAAGAAGUUUGCCUUUUUGCUGACGCGUGGCGCGCGUGUGUGAAACGUCGGGGAACUACCCUUAUGGAGGGGAUUACCUACUGGAACCGGUAGCUAAUACGGCUUAUAGUCUCAACAGCAAAGAGGGAGACCUUCGGGCCUCUUGCCAUUGACUGUGCCAAGGUGCGAUACGGCAUUAGCUAGGUGGUCGGGUAACGGCUUACCAAGGCGACGAUUCGUAGCCGAGCUGAGAGGAUGAUCAGCCACACUGGAACUGAGACACGGUCCAGACUCCUACGGGAGGCAGCAGUAGGGAAUAUUGCGCAAUGGGCGCAAGCCUGACGGAGCAACGCCGCGUGUAUGAUGAAGGUCUUCGGGUUGUAAAACACUUUUAUUAGGGAGGAACAAAUUAAAAUGAAUACCUGUGCGCAUUGACGUUACCUGCACAGGAAGCACCGGCUAACUCCGUG